GCUACAGGUCUACUAUUCGCCAGUGC
rnacentral:piRNA from 1 species